UACCUUUAGAAACUGAAGGUUGUAGGACAAAUCGUGGACCUUAAUCAAUCAGCGAAGCUUUAAUCCCAAAAUUAGCAGAGGUCGGUUAUACGAAUCUUGUGUGUCAGUAUUCAAGGAUUUAUCGUAGUUACACUAUUUUAAUGUCACAUUUGAGGCAUCAUCUACCAUGUUAUGAUUUUCUAGUGUCUUAAGCAUAUUACAUAAUGAAGCAGAAAUUUAUUUUAAGCAUAAACUAUUCGCACUUAUAUCUUUUUCAAAAGUUCUUGUAUACAAAAAGAUGGUUCUGCUAACAUCCAGAUCCUUCCUUUGUUGAAGUUGUUAUCUUUAAUCAUUUUUGCUUCCUUGGCGAGGGUGUCAGCGACAACAUUCCCUUCUCUAAAGUUAUCUUGAAGUUGGAGGCCCUUCUCCAGGGGCAUUAAUGACCUGCAAGAGAGAAUUAGGUUAGUCAGGAUUGUAUGGCCUUUUUUAUGACGUCUAUUACCUCUGUUGAAUCCGUUUCCACUUCAAGAGGGUAGAGAUUGUGUCUUUUGUCCAGUAGAAGUCCUUCCAAGAGUACCUGUAGUUCUGUAUGGAGUGUGAAUAGGGCAUACGUUUUCUUUUGAAAUCCCAUAAUCCAUUUUCCCCGAUUAUUUCUCAAGACACAUGCUAUUCCACCUUUAGAAUUUUUCCAUGCACUAUCUAUAUUGAGUUUGUACCAACCUUUUUGAGGAGCAUGCCAUCUUAUAGGAAUUAUCAUAGUAUCAUGGAAAAUGGGGUGCUGUUAUUAUAGAAGUGGUAUUCUCUAGCAUGGUUGUAUAUGAAUUUGAGACAAGGUUUUUUGUUGAGGUUGUUAAUGUUAUUGUGAUUACGGUUGGUUCAGAUGCCCCGGAUUAGAAAGGGAAAGAGGUGUUUCCAUUCUAAAUGAGGGUUUUUCUUUGGAGGAGUUAGGUUAAAACUAGCGAUGAGCUAGUGUUGGCUAGGAGAUAGCCGGGGGAUGGAGAUAGCAAGCUCUAGCCAAAGAGGGAGAGCUAAGGGACACUUGAUAAAGAUAUGCUCUAUAGAUUCCUCAUCCGUUUUGCAUGCAUGGAAAUCUUUGCUAAUAUUGAUCCCUAUAUGAUUUAAAUAAUUCAUACAUGGAAGGUUGUUGUGAAGACUUGCCAGAGAAGAUAUUUCAUUUAUUAGGGCAUUUGAGCUUCCAGUUGCCUAGUGGGGGGUCGUAUUAUGUUGAGACGAGAUUUGCUGGUGUACUGGCCACUAGAAUUUCUAUUCCAUAUGGGGGUGUCUUUGUAUUUGUGGAGUGGUAAGGGGAUUUGAAGGAUAUUAUCCAUUAUAGUGGGGGGUAAUUUGAUAGAGAGUUUGAAAAGGUCUCAUUGCCCGUGACUAAUAAUAUCUCUUAUUUCUAAAAAAAGGAUCAUCUUGAUUUAGAGGACCUUCGACCAUUUCUCUUAGGGGGAGGAUAUUAGGACUCCAACUGGUUGACCAAAGAUUAAGGCUUGAAUUGUUGUAAUGCUUCCAAGUGAUCCCUUUAGAGCAUAUAGACCAUCCCUUUAAGAUACUUUUCCAAAUAAAGGAGGUAGUGAAAAGAGUUUUGUUUUUUGUAUAUUUAAGAAAGAUAAUUUUUCACCAAAGAGUUGUGGUAUUUGAUAUGAUUCUCCAAGCAAGAUUACAAAGGGCUAGAAGAUUUUUAGUAGUGGCAUCUUUUAGAGCUACACCUCCUUCUUCUUUUCUUUUUGUCACCGAAUUCCAAUUUACAUAAUGGAUUUUUUUAUGAUCAUUUGUAGUGCCCCAGAUAAAAUUACGUUGGAUACAUUCAAUUAAUUUGAGAGUUUUUGUGGGGAGAAGGGUAAAUUGCAUGACGUGACUCGGGAUAGCAUUGAGGGUGGAAGAAGCAAGAGUAGUACGCCCUGCUAUAUUUAGAAAUUUGGCUUUCCAAGAAGAUAGUUUUCUUUGUAUGUUAUCAAUAAUGAAUUGGUAGUCUUUUGGUUUUGGACUGUUUUGAACGAUAGGGAAACCAAGGUAUUUCCCAAAAAACUUACUCACAGUCAGAUUGAAAUCUUUUUCAACUUACUUUGUUAUAUGGGUUGGACAAUUGUUGGAAAAUAUAAUUUUUGAUUUGGAGUAAUUGAUGUUUUGGCCGGAUAAUGAGCAAAAGUAGAAUAUACUUCUCUUUAUGAUAGUGCAUCAUUUAUUGUUGACUUUGCCCAUGAGUGUGAGGUCAUCCGCAAAGAACAAGUGCGGAAUACCCUGGUUGUUAGGGCUUAGAUAAAUUGUAUCCCAGUUGCGUGUGUCAACUUGGUAGAAGAUAAGCUUUGAGAACAUUCCAUAUAUAGGAUGAAUAAGUAAGGGGAGAGAGGGAGCCCUUGUCUAAUACUUCUGCUUGGGCUAAAAAAGGGAGUGAAUGAUCCAUUGACUAGGGCAACAAUUUUAUUUAUACUUACACAAUGGAUAAUUAAAGAAGAUAUAGAUGGAGGGAAUUUGAACAAUUUAAGCAUUCUAUAGAUGAAUGACUAUUCAAGGCGGUCGAAUGCUUUCUCUAAGUCGAUCUUGAGCAUUAUUCUAUAUUUUUUGCCUUUACUAUUUUUGAAUUGGUUCAUUAUUUCUUGGAUUAUAAUAUCAUUGUCACUAGUCCUCCUUCCUUUGAUAAAGCUAGAUUGAAAAGGAUUAAAUAGAUCAUUAAGAAAAGGCUUUAAUAUAUUGGUAAUUAUUUUUGUAAUAAUUUUGUAGAUAAUGUUACAUAAGCCCAUAGGCCUAAAUUUUUUUAGAUUAUUGGUAUUAUCAAAUUUAGGAAUUAGACAAAUAUAAGUAUUGUUGGUAUCUUUUAGGUGGGUAUUGGUUCAAAAAACUUGUUGAGAAAGUUGUAUGGCUGAAGGGCCAACAGUUUUCAGUAUUUGUGAUAGAAAAAGGGGUGGAUACCAUCAGGCCCUGGAGAUUUGAAAGGUUUAAAGGAAAAAUGGCGUUUGUUAUUUCAUGGGGCAUAAGAGAGUUAUCAAGGGAGUCAAGAUUAAUAUUACUGAAGGUAUUUGCACUAUUAGUAAUAUCUAGCCAAUUGGAGUGUUGAUGAGAGGUAGUGAAUUCCUUGAGGAAAAAUUCGUAUGUGUGAUUGAGGAUAUAGGGUCAUUUAUCCAAUUUCUUUCCUCAUCUUUAAAGUGAGUUAUUUUAUUUCUUCUUUUUUUAUUGGUUCCCAUGAUAUGGAAAAACUUAGUAUUAGCAUCGCCAUCUUGGACCCAAGAGAUUCUUGCUCUUAAUUUCCAAUAAUCAUCCUCAAUUUUUAGGUAAUUAUUGUAUUCAGCAUGGAGAGAAUUUUCAAGGUUCUGAAGGAAGGUACUGUAUGGAUAAUGGGUGGAAUUUUGGACACCAUUAAGUCUAGCUAGAAUUUUAUUUUUCUUCCUAAAAAUAUCUCCAAAGACAUUAUGUUUCCACCCCUUAACAUUCCUUAGGAAGGAAUUAGAAGCUUGGGGGUAGUAAUUGCCCACCCAAGAUUUUGUGACUAAAGCAUUAAAAUCAUGGUGUCUACACCAAAACGUUUCAAGUCUGAAAUAUUUUGGGAGGACCAUAUUAGAUUUUGGAAUUAUUUCAAGUAAAAGAGGGCUAUGGUCUGAGUUGACCUUGGGAAGGUGAGUAACAGACGCAUUGGAAAACCUAUUAAUCCAAUCACUAUUGACAUAAAUUUUACCGAGCCUUUCCAUAAUAAGACUGUUUUCCUUUUACGAUUACUCCAAGUAUACUUACAACAUUUAUAACCAAGAUCAAGGAGAACAUAUGUAUUAAUAUAAUUACAGAGGUAGUUAGCCCCAUUUCUAUUAAUAACAUUCCCCCCAAACAUUUCAUUAGUGCAUAACGCAUCAUUAAAGUCGCCACCUACCAACCAAGGUCCUUUAGUGGAAUCAUGCAGACUAAUAAGGUUAUACCAUAAAGAAUUUCUGUUAUUAAUAUUAGUACUGGCGUAGAUAGAUGUAAAAAGCCAAGUUUUAUGAGUUUGAAUUACCUUAAUAGUGGCACUGAUUUCCUAGCUUCUACGGACGAAGAUAUGAACAUUGACUAGGGUAUGGUUCCAUAGGAUUACCAUACCACCCGAUUGACCUUCAAAAGAAAUUUCAAUCAUAUCAGUGAAUCCAAAUGGAUUUAGGAGCGUCAUAUGAUUGUGCAUCCUUGUUUCCAGUAAAGUAAUCAUGCAGGGAUGAUGAGUAUCAAUGAACUCCCCGAAAUUUAACCUAAAGUUUUCAUUGUUACCACCUCUAAUGUUCAAUAUAAUGAAAUUGAUGGGCCUAUUCAUCAUCAAAUUCUAGUUGUGAAGAUCCCCGUUCUCCAGCGCCCUUGGUGCAUGAAUUCGAUUCUUUCUCUGAAAGGGUAUCAAGAUCAUUGCAUGAUGUCAAAUCGUCGGAUCUGCAGGUGGCUUGAUGUCCAUUGUACAUUUGUAUAAGGCUGUUGGACACUUGGGAAUAUACCUCUACUCUAGCAUCUUCCUGAAGAUGAACACUUUUAUUUUGUCGAGAUUUGAAUCCUCUAGUAUUGGCUCUAGGGGUAAGCUGAGAUUUUCCACCUGCUCUAUUGCUUCUGGGAGAUGAGCAUUUGGAGGGAUAUUUGGUUGUUGACCGGGUUGUGAUGGAACUGGUUGUUCGAAUUGAUUUGCAUGGUGAGCAUUUGGAAUUUGAUCCUGGGAUGCAUGUACAUCCCAUGGAGUGAAGUCUGAGUUGAUGGUGGUCAUCAUUUCCGAAGUGAAAAAUGGUAGAUCCAUCAAAGUUUGGGCUAUAUUUUGGAUUGGGAUGAAGUAUGGAGGAAGGUGCCACUAUCCCAUCAUUGUCUGGGUUACAUUUGAUGGUAUGUUUGGGGAUACUUUAUGUAUGAUGUUGUUCACCCAUACAUAGCUCAUGAAGUUUGCCAUUGCCAUUCGAAUUACUUAUGAGAUUAACUGGGCUAGAUAAUGGGAGUUGUCGAUGACUAUUAUCGUUUCCCUGCCAUUUAGUACUAUGUUGAAUGAUAUGGCGUGGCCCAGUAGGCCCAGCUCCACCUAUGACAUGGGUUGGUGGUUCUGAGGCAUUAGAGGUUGGAUGAAAAUUAUGGGAGUGUUGGAAGAAGGGUUAGAUUAUGGAGGUUGGUUCUCCAAUGGUAAGGGUCUCUGACGAAGAAGCUGAAUGAGACUAUAUCUGGGUCUGGUUGGAAAAGGGACUCUUGGCAUUUUCCGGUGGUGAUGAAUUGUUUAUAUCCUAAAGAUAUGAUACUUCUGCUCCGCAAGCUUUGGGAGUAUCUUUGCCAAUGAUUACAAAUUUCUUUUGCAUGGCGUUUGGGAGGGGAAGCGUAAGGGUUUUAUCAGGGAAGGGAGGGGAUUGGGCUUGGUUAACGUGUCUAAAGGCAGUGGCCACUUGGAGCAGGUGAGUGUGUUUUUCGGAAAUGUAUAUUAUGUUAUUAGCUACAUGCAAGGUAUUAUUAUUAUGGUUAAUAGGUUGAUUAGGUGGUGUAGCAGUAUUAGUGAUAGAAUUAUGGAUAAUGGGGUUAUUGUUAGUAGUAGUAGUUGACACUUGUAUGUCUGACGUGUCACCUAAAGUGUGGGUAUUAGACAUUUAGGCAGUGGCAGGUUCAUUCUUCUUUUGGAGAUUAGUGGUUUUGUCUAAAACCUGGUUCUCCUCCGUUAGAGUAGUAAAAGAGUUUGUAGUUUGGAUAUUAGUAUUAUUAGUUAUAUUAUUUUCUUUGAGUACCGAUUUCUCUAUUGAAACAUUAGCAGAUUUUUGGUUUGUAACAUGAAAUUUUUAAUUAAGAACUUGAUUAGUUAGAAACUUACUUGUAUUAGCAUCAAAGAUGUUGACAUUGAUACCUGUUCCACUAGUUGAACUAAUGUUGUUUGAGGGAGUAUUAUUGAUCUUCCUUCUUUGUUAAAAAUAAAGAGUUUGCCAUUCUUCAUUCUUCUUUGGUGAUUGUGGUGUGUUUUGACAUCUCCGAUCUUUGUCUCUUGUAUAAUUGAAGGAUGUUUUAGUAGUUUACUCCUUUAGGAUGGUGUUGCAUUGCCUUAAGCUGUGCCCAAACAACUACAAUUAUGACAAAGAAGGUUUUCACCCUCGUAUUGAAUUUGUUGUUUGUAAUUAAAGGCUGGAUUUCACUGGCUUGCCGAGAGGUAGUUCAAUGCACAAUCUAGCAUAACGACCCCUCAAGCCUACCGAUGUGCAUGCAUCUAUCUUAAGCAACCUGCCUAUAGAGUUACCUACGUUACCCAGAAUCUAGAGAUCAUAAAAUUUUGUGUGAAGAUUGGGUAAACGAAUCCAAAUGGAAGUUAAAAUUUGCUUCGCCCUAGCAGGAAUAAAGUUUGGUUCCCAACGUUGAACCGAAAAGAAAUGAACAAAGACAAACCAUGGCCCUUUUUGUAGUACGAUCUCUGUGUUUUCUUCUUUAUUGAAAUUAACAAUGAAGUAUUGUUCGCCUAGAUCAAUUAGAGGGAAUGGUUCAGAUGGUUUCUAAAGAGUAGUAAGUUUACGUUUUAGGACUUGGUGGAGGAUUUUUCCCCAUUAGUAUAAUAAUGAUUGACAAUAUCCAAAGGAAAUAAAUCAUUUGUUAAUCUUCCCCACUUAUAGGGACUUUGUUUUCCUCCUCAGGAUUCUACAUUCUGAGGCCUUAAAACCCUCAUUUAGUGCCACCUCAAUUUGCGUGUGCAGUUCGGACACGUAGCGAGAAAACUUAAAUGAUAAAAUCUAUGAAAAAUGAUAAAUUUUAACUUAAAAUAAAUUAAUUUGACUUCGGCGAACGUUUUGGAUAAAUGGACUCGGACCUGUAAUUUGAUGGUCCAAGAGGGUCCAUAAAAAUAUGGGACUUGGGAAUAUGUUGGGAAUCGAAUUCUGUGGUCCCAAGCUCGAGAAAUGAAUUUUUAAAGAAAAUUAUUUUUUGAGAUUGUUUAAAGGAAUUUGAAAUAAAUUUUGAUUAGAACAUGUUGGUAUCGGGCCGUAUUUUAGUUUCGGAUCCGGUACAAGUCUUAUAUGUAAUUUAAGAUAACUCUGUGAAGUUUGGUAAGAAAUGGAGUAUGUUUGACGUGAUUUGGACCUUAAUUGGAAAACUCGAUGUUUAAUGAAGUUUUGAGAAAUUUCAUUGAUUUUGAGGUUUAAUUCAAUGUUCAUGAUAUUAUUUUGGUGAUUUGAUUACACGAAUAAGCUCGUAAAAUAUGUUUGAGGUUUUAUGUGCACUUGGUUUGGAGUUCCGAGGGCUCGGGUGAGUUUAGGGUAGGUCCGAGGAUGUCUUAGGCUUAAAACCAUAGAUGUAGCAGUAUCAGAGAAGUGCAAACCUCUGAACCCGCAGUGCUGACUAUAGUUGCUUUUGUGCAGUCUGCACUAGUGACUAUGCGGCCGUGAUUGAUUUUUGGCGGUCCGUACAGAUUUACUGGUCCGAUUUCAGAAGCUCAUAUAUUUUUAUCUACCAAGAAUUUUGAGAUGAUUUUUAUCUCCAGCUAUAUGUAUGUCGAUGUUCCCUUAUUUCCUGGGAAACACUAAAAGACCCAAGAACACUACCAUACAAGCAAAGCACCGAUGCUCUUCCCAUUUGAGGCGAUUUCCUUUGCUACAAAAAGUUUGUUCUCUGGAUUGUUAAACCCUCAUAUGUGACAGUACCUAUGAUAUAUAAACUGUGGAGUGGAAAAGCUGGCUGCAAAAUCUGGGUUAUGGACCCCCUGCUUAUUUUUAAGGAAUCUAGGAACUUGUGCACAGUGAUGGCUCUUGUAGCAACCAGAUACUUGUGUCCCAAAGGAACCUCAGCGCUCCCGAUGUAUCCAACAAUUUCUUCUAAAGUUAGGGUAAGUUUAAAAUGUCAUAAAUCAAACACGUUGUGGGUCGGGUCCUAAAAUGUAACCAACGCCUUUAUGAUGUCUUCUCUAGGCUUAAUUUUCAACAACCCGGUGGGACCUCCCAAAUAUUGAUUGACCUUAUUUUGGCAUGAUUUCCCCAAGUCAUCCCACCACAUAUGCAGGUCCAAAGGGAUUUUGUUCACGACUGUUAUUGGCAAAUUUUGACUCGUGCUCAUUCUCCACAUUUAUUAAGGCAAAUAAGCAAAAUUCAUGAUUCAUUUGACUCAAAAUAAAGCUGAUACUGCUUUUUAAAAAAAAAAUUCAAAGAUAAAAAAUCGGCUUUGCAAGUACAAACUUUCAACACUUCCGGGAGAAGAUUUUAAGGCUAUGCUUGCUAACUGGCCCAAAAAUUUAAAAUGAGACCAAAGGUUGUUGUUUUUGUAAGAACAGCCUUCCGGCGUCCUUUUGGGGUGGUUUGGCUAUUUUUGACAAGAAUGGCAUCACCUUACUUAUUUAUAACGAAGCGAUAAACUUUUGGUUUUUUUGGCUAUUUUUGCAAAAAGAAAGUUGGACUAGUUAGGGGGUUGUCUACAUAACCCACAUCCUGUGGGAAUCAAACUGCUAUAGUUCAAGCAAUUUUGACAAAACAAAAAAAAAUUAUUUCAAAAUUUUGGCAGAGUUUCGAUAUAUUUUGGACAUUGGUUUUUCAAAAAACAAACAAUUAUCUCUCUGAAUCCUUAUAUUGCCUUUCUUUUUCAAUUUUUCCUCUAUAAGUCGGUCAACAUGCAAAUUCGAAGCAAAUGAAUGCACAAGUAGCAAGUAGGAUACAUCAGGAUGGUCUUUUUAUUUUCAGCAAACCAGUCCUAGACAAACCCAACCUCUGUGUUGAGUGUCCAAAGUCAAAUGCAUAUAAUGCAAAAAAACGUUCCUACUAGGGCUUCGGCAUGAGGCUAAGUUAUUCUAGGUUCAAAACCUGGGUAUGUGUACUAGACUGUGUACCCGAGUGAAUAACUCGAGUCGAGGAGAGGGCUACGUACCGGGAACCAAAAGUCCAUCUAGCUUAGUAACUUAUCCGAGCCUAUUUCUUAUUUCAAGGUAUAACACUAACAGAAUAGGGAUCUUGACCAGCGAGCACAUCCCCCAAAAUGAGAAGAGAAGGGUUUCGAAGUAGUUUAUAAACAACCCAUAUAAUAUCAAAGCGGUAAAAACAUCAUUUAGCAUAUUAGGCUCAAACAUGUAACAAAAUCAUAUAAUAGAUCAAGCCAAAUAUAACAAUUAUUCUAAGCUCGAAUUCAUGAAUCCUGAACUAGAGAUUCUGGGUUUGGCCCCCAGCAGAGUCGCCAGAGCUAUCACACCUCCUUUUUUACCAACAUCACCGCGAAGGGACGUAUUAAGGGAGUUUUUCCAAUUUAAGUGACAAUCGAAAUGUGAUUAUUUUAUUAAAAGAUUCAGAGCCGCACUUGGGAUAAUUUAUGGUGUUCAGAGUCACCGGUUCAAAUUUCGAAUUGAGGAGAAGGUUAGAUCUGUAUUACAGUUCGUGAACCAGAAAUUCGGAUAAGGAAUUAUGUUAACCCAGGAGAAGGUGUUAGGCAUUCCCGAGUUCUGUGGUUCUAGCACGGUUUCUCAACUGUUACAAUUAACUCAAUUAUCUAAUUUAAAAUAUUUUAGAUCUAUGUGCAAUUUUAACUUUAACCGAUUUAUUUAAUUACUUUUUAGGAAUAUUUCAAAGUUACAUAAAAUGAGUUUUGAACCACGUCACAUAAAUGCACCAACAGUUCGCAACACAUUUUAUAUAAACAUUAUUGAGAUUUGAAUUUGGGUCACAUAAAUACGCACCCGAGUUUAUGAAGGUAAAUUAUUAAAAUAUCAUGCCUUUAGCAACUGUUUUCCAAUGCAGCUCUUCAUUCUGUCCUAUGCGCCAAGGGUCGCUUGGAAGCAGCCUCUCUGCCCUUUUGGGUAGGGGUAAGGCUGUCUACAUAUUACCUUCCCCAGACCCCACUUGGUGGGAGUAUACUGGGUAGUUGUUGUUGAAACUAUGUGGAUAUAUGUUUUCUUUAUUAGUAAUGGUAUAUCAAAAUCAAUCGAAUCCUAUGUGGCCGUUUGGUAUGAGGUAUUAUGUGGGAUAAGAGUUGUGAUUAAAUUUGUGCCUUGUUUGGUUGGAGGAAUAAAUUUAUCCAGGAUAAAUUUAUACCUCCAACCAAACAAUAUUUAAACUUAAUCCAAAUCUUAUCCAAUUUUAUCCCACUUUAUACCAUCAAUUGCGGGAUUAUAUUAUUCCAUCUUUUAUGUGGUAUAAAUUAGUAUAGAAAUUGUAAUUUUGUUACUAUUCAUUCAUUCAUUAUCACUCAUCAAAAAAUAGUUUUUACUCCUAUUUUUUUAAUCCAAUUUUAAAUUGAUUAAUGAUUUCUUUUCAAAUUUGAAAAAUAAUAUUUGAAUUAUAUAUUAUCAUGCCUUUAGCAACUAUGCGUUUGUAACCUUGCGAGGGUCAUAGAAAUUCUACUAGAUGGCACGCCUCGAAUUUUAAGGACAAAGCAAAAUAAUUAAAGUGAGGGUCGUCAAAUUGUCAUUUUCGUUAGGCACGGCACGCCUUUAAUUUUUCUAGCUUAAGAGCUUCUAAAUUAAUUCAUGAGGGCCAUAAAAACUUGUAUUGUAAUAUGGAUCACCUCAAUUAAAAAAAACUUAGUUAAAUAAAAGAAGACCUAAAAGAAUUCUAAGGCAGUUCAUCAAAGUUCAAACUAAAAACGUAAUAAUCGAACAAAUGCCCAUUUCUCUUUAUAGAAACACUUGAGCCCAAUAGCCUACUGUAUUUUUAAAAAACUAGAUGGCCAUAAAUUUUAACAAACAACUUAAACCAAACCUCAAUGGAAUACCCAAUUCAAAACGUGACGUCUAUUAUCAGAAUUGUUUACAGUGUUGAUGUGAGUCAUAUUCUUAUCUCAAAACUAGGAUCAAGGGAGCCCAAUACCACGUUGCAAAUGCUACUAGCCUAAUGACUUUUAAAGUGACCUGAGCUAGGCAAAAAAGAAAGCCCAAUUCAGCGGUUGUGGUGCAUUAGCAAUGCAAGGAUCCCCGUAGCAACACAAACAACACCCAAGCAAAAUAUCAAAUGACCCUAAAUUGAUUUCAAACACAUAAAAUGCUCCAAAUUCAUUUCAAAACGACCAUAAAUGCCUAUUUAGUUUCCUACUUUAAUUAUUUCAAAAUGGAAUGAACAGAUAAACCUGUGUGAAAGCUCAAAACUAAGUAACCAUUAUAUAAUCAUGACAAGCUCUAUUUUCAAAACUAAUUUGAUGAGCUAAAGCAGAAAUCAUUAUAAAAAAACAAACUACUAGAUCCCCGAGUAAAUUAUCGAUAUCAAAAUCGUGUGAACCAAGCAGACACACUUUGAACUAAGCAUUUUUUAAAACUGAACACCUCCGAUUUCCAACAGAACUUAAACGCAAAUACAUUUUACUCAGCUUCAAAUAAACGUUUACUGCAGCGGCGUUAACAGUCCAUACAAGCAAAUAGAGUUCAGAAAACACUACAACACUGAAUACUCUGAAAUUACACAUUAAAUCUAAACAACUAAACUAUCCUAAGAAUUUUAAGAUUUCUAUUCAAACUUCAACUUGCGUUUUAAAAUCUUUAUACAUGCUAGUCAAUAUUCAAUUCCAUGACAGGUUUUAAUGGUGUACCGGGAGAUUGUAAAAGGAAAAGAGGUGAAAGUAGUAAACAGCAACAGCAGUAGAACCCAACAAUCAGAAAAUAAACCAGCAGACUAAUUUUAAACCCAGCAGAUGAGAUACCAUAAUACAAACACUAAUUUCAGUCACUCAAUGAACCAGCAGACCUCAAACCAUGCUCGAUUUUAACCCAUUUUAGUACCAACUAACCAGAAAUUGCUUCAGUACAAGAAAAACUUCAAAAAUCACCAAAAAAGUUCAAUGAAAUAGUUUUCUUUUCUUUUUAAAAAAAUCCUCAGUCGUUUUGAUUUUUUUAUUUUUAUCUCUUGAUUUUUCAGUGUUGAAAGGCAAGGAAAAGAUGCCUCUAUAGGCAAGGAACCUGGGGCAACACAAGAGAAUCAACUUUUCCUCUUGGGCCCUUUUCAGAUUUUGUUUUUGCUUAGAUAGCCUCAGUUAGAAAUCUGAAGUUCAAAUUAAACCCUCACCUAGCUUUCUAGAAGCUUCUCAAUCUGUUACAAAUAGAUUCGCACCCCAAACUAUCCCCAAACCCCAGUUAAUUAACCAAAUAGCCCAAACGGGUAUGGGUCAAAUUAACCUGAGCUUAAUUCACUCGAAACCCAUCCCCAAACCCAAACUCUGAACCUAAGGCAUGGACCCUGAACCCCAAAUAUAAUUAGAGACUAAUGUAACUGUAGAAAAACAAAACUUAAAGCAAUUUGAAUUAAUUUCAAAAAUUCAAUUAACAAACUAAAACUAACGGAGUUAACACAUUGAAACCAGCCUAAUUAGAACCUGAAUGGACUAAGAGAUAUAAAUUAUCAUGCCUAACAAAAUGUCCCUUAAGACAGAGAAAAAAAAUCAGAAGAAGCAGAUGAAAGGUCGACAACAAGUACAACAAUGAAUAAUAAGAAUGCAAUCCAGAAUGAAAAGGAAGACAUGCAAGGCCCAAAAAUAAAAGGAAAUACCUAAAAUGGGAGCCAAUCCCGCGGUUCUUCUUUUAAAAUCAUGAUUCUGACCAGAAAGGGCAUUGAUCAUGUGUUCUCAAAUGAAAACACAUGACCAAGAUCCAUUCGGGUCCCGAUCUACCUAACUUCUGACUUUGACACUUUAGACCCUCAAUUUCCAAGUUAAUAUUCAACGGGUUUUGUAGAUACUCGAGGGCAGGGAAUGAUGGGUUUGGGAUAAGGGAAGGCAUGGGGUUUUAUGGUAUUAAUUUGGUGGCUUUUGGAAUAAGGCCACCACCAGUGGCGGUGGAAAUUUUUGGGUGGCGGCUAGUUCUAGGUAUUUGGUCUCUGAGAAGUGAAGGAGAUGAUGAAAGAGG
rnacentral:lncRNA from 1 species